rnacentral:rRNA from 1 species
AUUGAACGCUGGCGGCAUGCCUUACACGUGCAAGUCGAACGGUAACAGGUCUUCGGAUGCUGACGAGUGGCGGACGGGUGAGUAAUACAUCGGAACGUGCCCGAUCGUGGGGGAUAACGGAGCGCAAGCUUUGCUCAUACCGCAUACGAUCUACGGAUGAAAGCAGGGGGCCGCAAGGCCUUGCGCGGCUCGAGCGGCCGAUGGCAGAUUAGGUAGUUGGUGGGUUACAAGCUUACCAAGCCGACGAUCUGUAGCUGGUCUGAGAGGACGACCAGCCACACUGGGACUGAGACACGGCCCAGACUCCUACGGGAGGCAGCAGUGGGGAAUUUUGGACAAUGGGCGAAAGCCUGAUCCAGCCAUGCCGCGUGAAGGAUGAAGGCCUUCGGGUUGUAAACUGCUUUUGUACGGAAAGAAAAGACGCUUUCUAAUAAAGAGGGUCCAUGACGGUACCGUAAGAAUAAGCACCGGCUAACUACGUG